ensembl:lncRNA
GCAUCCUCAAAUGGCCAGACAUGACUGCAAACAACACAUGACAAGAGAGACAGGAAGUCAUCAGACCACACCUGUCGAAAUAAAUCCACCUGGGAAAAUGGCCGCCACUGUUUUAUUGUAUUUUUGACCUUGUUGGAACAGCUGUCAGUUGGUUUGGACUAUUUUAUUUUUUGUCACUUGACCCAUUUUAUUAUUAAUAGUCCCGCCAAACAAAUAUGGAGAAAAACAAUGAGACCCCAUUUCACAGAAAAAGGAACAAGAGAAUGAGGAGCAGAAGAUAUCACCAGAGUUUAGCAAGACGAUCAGAAGGUCAUCUGCCUCCAAAGAAGUGAGACCUUGGAAAGAAGGGGAGAAAAUGCCCAUCUCUCUGGGCCAUGCACUGCACCAGUUAAUGGAAGAAUUGUGUCCCAAUCCGGCUCCAUGCUGAUUUUCUCAGGAGGGAACGUGGCGUUCCAGUCCAUCGCCUGCACCGCUUGUCCAGGAAGUCUCGGUGAAGAGCGUUCUUCAGAAAAGAAUUUCACACACCAGCGGAGCCACUUCGCUCUGUAUUUGAUCUGUCUCCGCCUCGGCAGAAAGAUCUCAGGCCCGCGGUGGGCGAGCGAGGUCCGCCGGCGGGGAAAGCCCGGCCUCGUUCACCCCGUCUUUAUAAAACGGGAGGAUUGUGCCCGCUAGCCCUUGUCGCCGCUAAACAAGCCGUAGACGGCGAACUGUGGAAGAUUUAAGGUUCGUAUCGGUGCUGUUCAGGGCUGUAGUUAAACUAUGUUAACAACCAUUAUUUUGUUCUGAGAGGGUUCUCUUAACUCGCCCAACUCAAAUCCCUCUUUCUUAGCCUAGAGAUUCUCUUUAUGAAUAAAAUUAAUAUUUUAUUGGCUGUAGGUGAAAUUUCCUGUGGUUCUGAAGGUGAAAGAGUUCUUCGCUUCUUCAAACCUCCGGUCCCUCACUCUUCUCCUCAUCCCCCUUUCCACUCAUUUCCUCCUCCAUUCCUCUCCUUCUCCUCCUCCUCCUUCUCUCCUCCCUCUUCUCUCCUCCUCUCCUUCUCCUCUUCCUCCUCCUCCUCCUCUUCUGCGGAGGCCGGACCCCCAGCGUGGCUGCUGUUGCGUCGCUGAACUUUUGAAAGAGUAAUUUUAUUCCGCAGAGUGUAUUUGACCAAGAUUGAUGUUCAUAUUUCAUCCAUGGUCGGCUCCUCUAACUCACCAGCCUGCCACGUCUCGUCAUGUUAGAGUUGUUCUGUUCUGACACUCAAAACGUCUCCUGGUUCAGACGUGCUACCACUGGCCCCAGAGUCCCUGGGGGGGCCCGCCGACUAGGAGGAGAGAUGAUUUCAACGCUCUUUCCAAGGAGAAGACCCCUCGCGCUCUGAUCUCUGAAGCCACCAUCUCCUCUGAGCCACAUGGAGUGCCUCUUGUUGAUUAUUCCAUUGACGGGUGGUUUGGUGUAACCAUUGAGCUGGUAAUAUGAUAAUAUUCAGAAGGCUGGUUCUGCCCUGUCAGUUAACAGCUAAUGAACGG